GAUGAACGCUGGCGGCGUGCCUAAUACAUGCAAGUCGAGCGAACAGACGAGGAGCUUGCUCCUCUGACGUUAGCGGCGGACGGGUGAGUAACACGUGGAUAACCUACCUAUAAGACUGGGAUAACUUCGGGAAACCGGAGCUAAUACCGUAUAAUAUAUUGAACCGCAUGGUUCAAUAGUGAAAGACGGUUUUGCUGUCACUUAUAGAUGGAUCCGCGCCGCAUUAGCUAGUUGGUAAGGUAACGGCUUACCAAGGCAACGAUGCGUAGCCGACCUGAGAGGGUGAUCGGCCACACUGGAACUGAGACACGGUCAAGACUCCUACGGGAGGCAGCAGUAGGGAAUCUUCCGAAAUGGGCGAAAGCUUGACGGAGCAACGCCGCGUGAGUGAUGAAGGUCUUCGGAUCGUAAAACUCUGUUAUUAGGGAAGAACAAAUGUGUAAGUAACUAUGCACGUCUUGACGGUACCUAAUCAGAAAGCCACGGCUAACUACGUG
rnacentral:rRNA from 1 species